GGCCUAACACAUGCAAGUCGAGCGGUAGAGAGAAGCUUGCUUCUCUUGAGAGCGGCGGACGGGUGAGUAAUACCUAGGAAUCUGCCUGAUAGUGGGGGAUAACGUUCGGAAACGGACGCUAAUACCGCAUACGUCCUACGGGAGAAAGCAGGGGACCUUCGGGCCUUGCGCUAUCAGAUGAGCCUAGGUCGGAUUAGCUAGUUGGUGAGGUAAUGGCUCGCCAAGGCUACGAUCCGUAACUGGUCUGAGAGGAUGAUCAGUCACACUGGAACUGAGACACGGUCCAGACUCCUACGGGAGGCAGCAGUGGGGAAUAUUGGACAAUGGGCGAAAGCCUGAUCCAGCCAUGCCGCGUGUGUGAAGAAGGUCUUCGGAUUGUAAAGCACUUUAAGUUGGGAGGAAGGGCAGUUACCUAAUACGUGAUUGUCUUGACGUUACCGACAGAAUAAGCACCGGCUAACUCUGUGCCAGCAGCCGCGGUAAUGCAGAGGGUGCAAGCGUUAAUCGGAAUUACUGGGCGUAAAGCGCGCGUAGGUGGUUUGUUAAGUUGAAUGUGAAAUCCCCGGGCUCAACCUGGGAACUGCAUCCAAAACUGGCAAGCUAGAGUAUGGUAGAGGGUAGUGGAAUUUCCUGUGUAGCGGUGAAAUGCGUAGAUACAGGAAGGAACACCGGUGGCGAAGGCGACUACCUGGACUGAUACUGACACUGAGGUGCGAAAG
rnacentral:rRNA from 1 species